rnacentral:piRNA from 1 species
ACUGAGUGAAUCCCUCAGGUGGUCUUGGA